AAAAUCCUAUCGGUUUAUUUUUGACACACAAUUUUUUUUUCGGGCAUAUUAAAAGUUGACUACCACAAACAUAAUUUGUAGGUUUUCUUGCGUGCUCUUUAGGUAAAGCCAAAUGUAAGUAGUUCUGACAGCUAUAGCUAUAUCUUUUCCAUUAAAGGGCAUCAAUAUUUCAUGAGUUUAUCAAUUUUCUUAGUUAUUUCAAAAUAAUUAACGUUUUGCCUUUUAAAACCUUCAAUAAUGAAAGUGUCAUUUACAACUUAACGCUAAUAGCGCCGGCUGGGAAAGUAUUUAUUUCAUUGUACUGAGCCCACGCUUUCAAAAUUAAACGAUUUAGCUGGUAAAAACAGGAAAAAAAUAAAGGGGAAGAAAGCGAGGAACUUGAUAUUCUCUGUAUUUUGUAAAUAAAACGAAUAGAAUGAGUACACAAACACCGUGUUAAAAAGUCCACAAAAUAUAUCGACGGUUAAUUUUUCCAUUGUUAACCUUGUUACUAUUUUAUUUUCAUCUUGGAGCUGAAUGAAUGAGUACUUUUUAAGAACAACUUUUAUUUUUUCUCUUGUCAACAGAAGGUUCUACUUGCACAGUUCCCGUGCCGGAACAAGCACUUUAGAAUAAUCAGCACUUGCGGGGACAACAAAGAAUUGGCUGGGAAUAUCUUAGAAGGCCAAGUUGCUAAUUACAGCUCACGCAAGAUUACAAUGCGGAAAAGAUAUUCACAAAAACCAAGGUAACGUUGCGCAACGAGAAGACAUGAAACCAAAAAGAAACCAUGUGUUUAUUUUAAAAAAGGACCGCAUAACAGCCCAUAACAUACACCUGAUUGCCAGAGUGGUGAUACCUAAAAAGCGUUAAUUUACGAUGAAUGGUGACACCCAACAAGUCUAUGGGUCAGAUGUACGUGUGCUAACCACCAUUCGUUGCACGUUGUGCGGAAUAAUGGAAGCUGUCCAAGCUUUCCUGAAAGAAAAAGCUUAUUGCAAAAAAAAACGAUUUUCCGUGAGUAAUGAGAAAAGUGAAUGAUUUGUGCGAAUAUUUCCCAUAAAGCCGUCGGGUCGUUCAAGGAUCAUCAUUCUCACUAAUUCAUUUUAAAACGUUCGCUGCCAGGACGUUUAAAAAGCUAAUAUUUUAUCGCGGCCAUGGCCCUAUUCCAUUAUACAUAAGUAGGGCUCAUUAAUGCGAGGAUCACUGUUAGACAUUUCAUGAACCGCAGUACAGCUAUGUGAUUUUCAUACGAUUUUCAUUGAUUCAUUAUGGUAACCGCAUGUAUUAGUUUGUCCUUCGAUAGGUCGCUGAAACCAAUCAAAAUUCGGGUAGAAUUCAACCAGGAGAUUUUGAGAAAUAGAGGUAGUAAUAAAGAGAUCAUUGAAAUUUUUUUUAAAUGA